AAUGAUAUGCCUGACUAAAAGGAUUAUUUUGAUAGAAUAAAUUAUGUAUAAUAAUUAUACUUUCAUUA
rnacentral:tRNA from 1 species